GACGAACGCUGGCGGCGUGCUUAACACAUGCAAGUCGAACGGAAAGGCCCUGCUUUUGUGGGGUGCUCGAGUGGCGAACGGGUGAGUAACACGUGAGUAACCUGCCCUUGACUUUGGGAUAACUUCAGGAAACUGGGGCUAAUACCGGAUAGGAGCUCCUGCUGCACGGUGGGGGUUGGAAAGUUUCGGCGGUUGGGGAUGGACUCGCGGCUUAUCAGCUUGUUGGUGGGGUAGUGGCUUACCAAGGCUUUGACGGGUAGCCGGCCUGAGAGGGUGACCGGCGACAUUGGGACUGAGAUACGGCCCAGACUCCUACGGGAGGCAGCAGUGGGGAAUAUUGCACAAUGGGCGGAAGCCUGAUGCAGCAACGCCGCGUGCGGGAUGACGGCCGGCGGGGUGUAAACCGCUUUCGCCUGUGACGAAGCGUGAGUGACGGUAAUGGGUAAAGAAGCACCGGCUAACUACGUG
rnacentral:rRNA from 1 species